UAACUUAGUGGCGGACGGGUGGAGUAACGCGUGGGGAACCUGCCUUGCACCGGGGGAUAACACUUAGAAAUAGGUGCUAAUACCGCAUAAGCGCACAGAGCCGCAUGGCUCGGUGUGAAAAACUCCGGUGGUGCAAGAUGGACCCGCGUCUGAUUAGCUGGUUGGCGGGGUAACGGCCCACCAAGGCGACGAUCAGUAGCCGGCCUGAGAGGGUGAACGGCCACAUUGGGACUGAGACACGGCCCAAACUCCUACGGAAGGCAGCAG
rnacentral:rRNA from 1 species